rnacentral:rRNA from 1 species
GUAGAAUUCCAGGUGUAGCGGUGAAAUGCGUAGAGAUCUGGAGGAAUACCGGUGGCGAAGGCGGCCCCCUGGACGAAGACUGACGCUCAGGUGCGAAAGCGUGGGGAGCAAACAGGAUUAGAUACCCUGGUAGUCCACGCCGUAAACGAUGUCGACUUGGAGGUUGUGCCCUUGAGGCGUGGCUUCCGGAGCUAACGCGUUAAGUCGACCGCCUGGGGAGUACGGCCGCAAGGUUAAAACUCAAAUGAAUUGACGGGGGCCCGCACAAGCGGUGGAGCAUGUGGUUUAAUUCGAUGCAACGCGAAGAACCUUACCUGGUCUUGACAUCCAGAGAAUCCUGCAGAGAUGCGGGAGUGCCUUCGGGAACUCUGAGACAGGUGCUGCAUGGCUGUCGUCAGCUCGUGUUGUGAAAUGUUGGGUUAAGUCCCGCAACGAGCGCAACCCUUAUCCUUUGUUGCCAGCGGUUCGGCCGGGAACUCAAAGGAGACUGCCGGUGAUAAACCGGAGGAAGGUGGGGAUGACGU